GCAGUCAGGGGGGCCCAGCAAUGGGCAACCGGCGAACGGGUGCGUAACACGUGAGCAACCUACCGAACUGUGGGGGAUAGCCGGCCUAACGGCCGAGUAAUACCGCAUACGCUCUCAGAGAGGCAUUUCUUUGAGAGGAAACCUACGGGACAGAUCGAGGGGCUCGCGGCCUAUCAGCUAGUUGGCGAGGUAACGGCUCACCAAGGCAACGACGGGUAGCUGGUCUGAGAGGAUGGCCAGCCACAUUGGGACUGAGAUACGGCCCAGACUCCUACGGGAGGCAGCAGUGGGGAAUCUUGCGCAAUGGCCUAACGGCUGACGCAGCGACGCCGCGUGUGGGAUGAAGCUCUUCGGAGUGUAAACCACUGUUGCCCGGGACGAAUAGCUCGAUUAAUCGAGCCUGACGGUACCGGGUGAGGAAGCACCGGCUAACUCCGUGCCAGCAGCCGCGGUAAUACGGGGGGUGCGAGCGUUGUCCGGAAUCACUGGGCGUAAAGGGCGCGUAGGUGGUUUGAUAAGGGUGUGGUGAAAGUCCGGGGCUCAACCCCGGAUCUGCCGUGCCGACUGUCAAACUCGAGGACUGUAGAGGCAGACGGAAUUCCGGGUGUAGCGGUGGAAUGCGUAGAGAUCCGGAGGAAGACCGGUGGCGAAGGCGGUCUGCUGGGCAGUUUCUGACACUGAGGCGCGACAGCGUGGGGAGCAAACAGGAUUAGAUACCCUGGUAGA
rnacentral:rRNA from 1 species